rnacentral:tRNA from 1 species
GGGCCUAUAGCUCAGCUGGCUAGAGCAUUCGGUUCAUACCCGAAAGGUCGUGGGUUCGACUCCAUUUAGGCCCA